AAACAUCUAAGUACCUGGAGGAAUAGAAAGCAAUAGCGAUUUCCUGAGUAGCGGCGAGCGAAACGGAAGAUAGCCCAAACCAAGAGGCUUGCCUCUUGGGGUUGUAGGACACUCUAUACGGAGUUACAAAGGAACGGGGUAAAUGAAGCGACCUGGAAAGGUCCGUCAAAGAAGGUAAAAACCCUGUAGUUGAAACCUCGUUCCCUCUUGAGUGGAUCCUGAGUACGGCGGAACACGUGAAAUUCCGUCGGAAUCUGGGAGGACCAUCUCCCAAGGCUAAAUACUACCUAGUGACCGAUAGUGAACCAGUACCGUGAGGGAAAGGUGAAAAGCACCCCGGAAGGGGAGUGAAAGAGAACCUGAAACCGU
rnacentral:ncRNA from 1 species